rnacentral:rRNA from 1 species
UACCAGCACCCCGAGUGGUCGGGACGUUUAUUGGGCCUAAAGCAUCCGUAGCCGGUUCUACAAGUCUUCCGUUAAAUCCACCUGCUUAACAGAUGGGCUGCGGAAGAUACUAUAGAGCUAGGAGGCGGGAGAGGCAAGCGGUACUCGAUGGGUAGGGGUAAAAUCCGUUGAUCCAUUGAAGACCACCAGUGGCGAAGGCGGCUUGCCAGAACGCGCUUGACGGUGAGGGAUGAAAGCUGGGGGAGCAAACCGG